GCAAGUCGAGCGAGACCUUCGGGUCUAGUGGCGCACGGGUGCGUAACGCGUAGGCAAUCUACCCGAUACAGGGGAAUAACACGGGGAAACUCGUGCUAAUACCGCGUAAUAAAUGAGAAGGCAUCUUCUUAUUUUAAAAGCUUCGGCGGUAUCGGAAGAGCCUGCGUCCUAUUAGCUAGUUGGUAAGGUAACAGCUUACCAAGGCGACGAUAGGUAGGGGAACUGAGAGGUUGAUCCCCCACACUGGUACUGAGAUACGGACCAGACUCCUACGGGAGGCAGCAGUGAGGAAUAUUGGUCAAUGGACGGAAGUCUGAACCAGCCAUGCUGCGUGUCGGAAGACGGCCCUCUGGGUUGUAAACGGCUUUUCUUUGGGAAGAACACGCUCUUGCGAGAGCAACUGACGGUACCAAAGGAAUAAGCACCGGCUAACUACGUGCCAGCAGCCGCGGUAAUACGUAGGGUGCAAGCGUUGUCCGGAUUUAUUGGGUUUAAAGGGUGCGUAGGCGGCUAUUUAAGUCGUGGGUGAAAGCCCGUCGCUUAACGACGGAAUUGCCUGCGAUACUGGAUAGCUUGAGUAUCGUUAAGGUUGGCGGAAUGGGAGGUGUAGCGGUGAAAUGCAUAGAUACCUUCCAGAACACCGAUUGCGUAGGCAGCUGACUAGGCGAUAACUGACGCUGAGGCACGAAAGCGUGGGGAGCGAACAGGAUUAGAUACCCUGGUAGUCCACGCCGUAAACGAUGAUGACUCGUUGUUGGACUUCGGUUCAGUGACUAAGGGAAGCCGU
rnacentral:rRNA from 1 species